CUUGCAUUAUCAUGUGGCUUUUUAGUUUUUACUGUAUAUUUUUGAGCAAAUAAAUGCACUCUUGGUGAGAAAAAAAAAAGCCCACUGUUUUUAACAGUAGUGUACAUUACCAUAUUUUCAUAUUAUACACAGUAGAUGUGCAUAUAACGCAGCCAUGUGCAUUUAUAUGAAUAUUUUUUUAAUACCCAUAAAUUGUAAUAACUGUCAUAUUCGAAAGCCCUAAACUGAAUGGUUAUCGCAAUGUUUGUAAAUCUUUAAAUGAUUCAUGAUAUACAAUUUCAGAUUUGCAUAUUUGUUUCUCACCGUUUGUUUAUAACUGCACAUUUUGCACCAAAAACCCCAAUAUUUGGAAACAAAAAAAGAAAUAAUAAUUUCUAUCCUCAUUGUCACUGUGGAAAAACUUAUUGCAGUGAUGGAAAUAAACUCCCACUGCUGUGACUGGUGUCGGAGUAAAAACAACGCAAAAGACAGGAAUAACCCAAGCAUGCAUUUACCCAACAGGUGUUUAAACUUAGAAAUGUAGGUAUACUAUAGCACUGAAAACCGUUACGGAGUGAGGAAGGGUCUGAGGCAUUGAGGGGAACUCUGUGUAAAAGGGCUGUAAAGGAGCUUUUUCCUGCUCCUGCAAGGUUGGAAGAGAGGACCUAAAGGGACCGAGUGAAGACAGGACUUGUCUGGGAUUGGCAGAGGAAGGAGACUCUAUGACGAAGAGACUUCUCACAAAUAUUAACCGAGUUAGUAAUUGAGUUACAUUAUUAUAAAGUAGCUAAUUACUAGGGAAAGUAACAAAUAACUUGGAUGUCCCCAAUAUUAAAUGUUAAAUAUUAAUGUUAAAUGUUAAAUUAUAAAACAUUGAACACUAGCCUACGCUGUUUUUAUGUUUGUUUGGGACAGUGUGAGAGACACAGAUGAAAUCAAAUCUUAUUAUAAGUAUUCUCAACUAUGGAUACCUUGGCAUUAAAAUCGCCAUAGUAAUUUUUUAUAUUAUUAGUAUUUUGUUUAUAAUUUAGCAUUAGAAGAUGACAGAACUAUAGUAAUUAGAAUGCCCCUUUCUAUAAAAAGGAAAAUAAUAGCAAUAAAACUACUAUGAAUUCUUCUACUAAUAAUAAUAUAAAACGAACCUAGGAUUAAUGAGCUGCUUGGUUCUUGAAUAUUUUCUGCGUUCGCUCAGAACGAUUUGCUAACAUCAAAACGGAUGAAAAAAGCACCAGCCAAUGAGAUUUGUUGUUUGCGCGUUAGUUCCACCCACUACCAGAGAAACCAGCAUGUUGUAAAAAGCUGAAGAAUUCCCAAGGAACUGUUAUUUUUACAGGAAAAUGUUUGCAUUAACCAUGACUAUUUUAACCAUGUUCUUGCUACUUUCCCUGGCCUUGAACGUGGUAGUUCUGCUGUUUAUGCAAGGUCUGAAACCUCUGAUUUCAUCAAAAGUAUCUUCAUUUGUCUUCCAAGGAUGAACAUAAGCUUUAUCGGUUUGGAACAACCUGAGGGUUUUUCAGGAGUCUGCAGCCCCUGGCUCACCGUCGUCUUCAUCCGGCUCCUGUUCGUCAGACGGCAGCUGCACACGCUGUUCAUCCAUUCGCUUGGCCUGAACUCUCUGGAUUAGGCUAAAGAAAUCCUCGUCUGGGACGGUUGGCGCCCGCGGACCCCCUUCAGGAGGAGAGCAGCGCUGGUCAUCUAUCCUGGACGACUGAACAAGAACCGUGAGAUCUUUUGAGCUUCAGAGAGACUGUGUGACUGACCGAUCAUGUCAUUGAUUGUGUUUGGAUCCGCUCCUCCGGCAUUCUCUCCAUUGGGCGGCUCGUCCAGCUGACAGCGCUGGUCAUCCAUACGACUG